AGUGAACGCUGGCGGUAGGCCUAACACAUGCAAGUCGAACGGCAGCACAGUAAGAGCUUGCUCUUACGGGUGGCGAGUGGCGGACGGGUGAGGAAUACAUCGGAAUCUACUUUUUCGUGGGGGAUAACGUAGGGAAACUUACGCUAAUACCGCAUACGACCUACGGGUGAAAGCAGGGGAUCUUCGGACCUUGCGCGAUUGAAUGAGCCGAUGUCGGAUUAGCUAGUUGGCGGGGUAAAGGCCCACCAAGGCGACGAUCCGUAGCUGGUCUGAGAGGAUGAUCAGCCACACUGGAACUGAGACACGGUCCAGACGCCUACGGGAGGCAGCAGUGGGGAAUAUUGGACAAUGGGCGCAAGCCUGAUCCAGCCAUACCGCGUGGGUGAAGAAGGCCUUCGGGUCGUAAAGCCCUUUUGUUGGGAAAGAAAAGCAGCAGGUUAAUACCCCGCUGUUCUGACGGUACCCAAAGAAUAAGCACCGGCUAACUUCGUG
rnacentral:rRNA from 1 species